rnacentral:rRNA from 1 species
AAAAUUAAACUGAAGAGUUUGAUCAUGGCUCAGAUUGAACGCUGGCGGCAUGCCUAACACAUGCAAGUCGAACGAUGAAGUCUAGCUUGCUAGACGGAUUAGUGGCGGACGGGUGAGUAAUGUAUAGGGAUCUGCCUAGUAGUGGGGGACAACAGCCGGAAACGGCUGCUAAUACCGCAUACGCUCUACGGAGGAAAGCGGGGGCUCUUCGGACCUCGUGCUAUUAGAUGAACCUAUAUCAGAUUAGCUAGUUGGUGGGGUAAAGGCCUACCAAGGCGACGAUCUGUAGCUGGUCUGAGAGGAUGAUCAGCCACACUGGGACUGAGACACGGCCCAGACUCCUACGGGAGGCAGCA